rnacentral:rRNA from 1 species
CCUACGGGUGGCUGCAGUGGGGAAUAUUGGGCAAUGGGCGUAAGCCUGACCCAGCAACGCCGCGUGAAGGAAGAAGGCCUUCGGGUUGUAAACUUCUUUUAAGAGGGAAGAGCAGAAGACGGUAUCUCUUGAAUAAGCUACGGCUAACUACGUGCCAGCAGCCGCGGUAAUACGGAGGGUGCAAGCGCUGUCCGGAUUUACUGGGUGUAAAGGGCGUGAAGCCGGGAAGACAAGUCACGUGUGAAAUCCCGCGGCUCAACCGGGGAACUGCCUUUGAAACUGGUUUUCUUGAGUAUCGGAGAGGACAGCGGAAUUCCUUGUGUAGCGGUGAAAUGCGUAGAUAUAAGGAAGAACACCAGUGGCGAAGGCGGAUGACUGGACGGCAACUGACGGUGAGGCGCGAAAGCGUGGGGAGCAAACAGGAUUAGAUACCCCUGUAGUC